AUUGAACGCUGGCGGCAGGCCUAACACAUGCAAGUCGAGCGAGGGGCGGACGGGUGAGUAAUGUAUGGGGACUGCCCGAUAGAGGGGGAUAACUACUGGAAACGGUAGCUAAUACCGCAUACUAUCGGAUAACCCAUAUGGGAUUAGCUCGUAGGUGAGGGAAUGGCUCACUGAGGCGACAAUCCCGAGCUGGUCUGAGAGGAUGAGCAGCCACACUGGGACGGAGACACGGCCCAGACUCGUACGGAGGCAGCAGUGGGGAAUAUUGCACAGUGGGCGCAAGCCUGAUGCAGCCAUGCCGCGUGUAUGAAGAAGGCCCUAGGGUUGUAAAGUACUUGCAGUCGGGAGGCGUUACCGACAGAAGAAGCACCGGCUAACUCCGUGCCAGCAGCCGCGGUAAUAC
rnacentral:rRNA from 1 species